GCCUUUGGGGUGUUGUGAGCAGCAUGCUCGGCUAGUAUUCGAGAGGUCCGUGGUUCGAUUCCCGGCGAGAGCA
rnacentral:tRNA from 1 species